rnacentral:misc_RNA from 1 species
ACUCCGUUGGUGAACCAGCGGAGGGAUCAUUACAGGACUCGCAAGACUCCUUCACCCUGUGAACCUCACUACAAGCACGUUGCUUCGGCGGGUGUCCCGGCGGGGGUUUUCCCUCGCCGGGGCGCACAGCCCGCCGGCAGCCUACCAUACUCUGUCUCUUUGCGUUGGCAUCUCGAGAAAAAACAAACAAGUUAAAACUUUCAACAACGGAUCUCUUGGUUCUG